GUAGCGUGUCGAUCCAGUAUACAUCGCUAAAAAAUCGUAAUCUAAAAUAUCUGUGAAUUUCUUAAAAAUGAAAGAAGAGAAAUAAAAAAAAUCCACGGAUCCUAUCCUAUUCCCCCGCCGCCUCUCCUUCAGAUUUUUCCAGCCGCUUUCUCUCUCCCUGAUUUUUCUACCACCGCGCGCAGUUAUUUUCCUUAUCUUCUUCUUCAGUCGUGUCUCUCUCUUCAUUUAUCUCCUCCGCUUGGGAUAUUUCCUGCCUUGCCGGCUUGCCGCCGGUCUUAUCUCCCACGGCAGCUGAGCACGUCGAGCUGCCUGGUUGUUUCUGUCCGCCAUGGUCCGCCCAGCCGAGGUCUCGCCCAGCUCGCCUGGCCGCUGCGCAGCCCCCUCGGCUUCAUCUCCCUCCUUCUGCCCUCUGCCGGCGCUCCAACUUUCCUCCCAUGGCGCGCCCAGCUCCCUCUGCUCGGUGCUCUCUCGCCCAUGGCACGCAGCCGCGUAUUCUCGCUCGGCCUCCAGCUCCGGCGCCCGGCUGAGUUCCCUGGCGCGCGCCCCUGUUCUUCGUUCCCACGCGCGCAUCUCUCCUGGCCGCCGAGCUCCCUUUCCUGUGGUGGCUGUCUUCCUCUGAGCUCGCCCCCGACCUCUGCUCCUUCCUCGCCGUAGAGUUUCCUUGCCGUGCCCCUGCUCCUCUCUUCUCUGCGCGCGCUUCUCCUUGCUGCGCGCAUCGGUCUCCAGCUCGCGGAGCUCCCUAGCUCGCUCCCUCAGCUCGCCGGCGCUCCUCCCUGUUUCAGCUCGGUGCCCAGCCCCAGCUCCCGGCUCCAGCUCGUCCGCGUCGUCUGGCGCAGUGCUUGCCCCAGCGCCAUCAGUCUUCUAUCCAGCUUCAACCCCACCGUCGGUCUCUAGUUCGUCAUGGCGCUGAAUUUCUUCCUCGUGUCAUCCCUGCUCCUCGCGCGUUGGGCACCGGGAGACUCUCCCUGCUUGGUCUGGCGUGGGCUGUAGCUGCAUGACAAAAGCGCCCCUGUUUUCUGCUCGCCAACCAUGCUCGCUUUACGUCCACCUCGUCGUGUGUCGUCGUGGGCUCAUCGGCAACUCUGGCCAACUAACAGUACCAGCCUCCCUGGCGUUCGUCUCUUCGUCGCGCCUGUAUAGCCCCAGUUGCGACACCAUGCACUCUUCUGGUUGUUGACGUCGUUCCUCGCAUCCCGCCUAUUCGAUGAAACGCCCAAAUCCAUAGACUGUCGACGCACUGCUGCCAUACGCGGUUGUCUCCGUCACUUGCGUCAGCUCGCCAGACCUGCAGCUCUAUACGUCACCCUCUUGUAUCGUCGUCGAGCUCGUCGAACCCCUUCCUUCCCUGCUCGACCUCGACGAACCCCGAAUCCCGGAUGUUACGAAAACGCAAGCGAAGUUCGGGUGACGCUUGUGUGUCCGAUAGAAAGAUCGAAGUCAAAACAAUUGAUGUGUUCGCGCCGACAAAAGAAUCCCAAGAUGAUGUGGAGAAACAAGCCCCAGGUCGAUGCCCCCAAGUGCUCGGCAAAAGGCCUGAACAAGGAUCAUCGUCGUUUAUUCGGAUUGCUAGUCGAUAUGACGAGCCAAGUUGACCUCAAGAUGGUGUAAGGAGUGGUCUUCUUCGCACAACGAUAUCGUCAGUCGGACGAACCUGAAGAUGGAUAAACUAAACGAGUGCCAAGACAAAGGAUGCUCGCCAAGUGGUCACCACUUAACCAACAGUAACCUAGUGUUAUCCAGGCAAGCCCCGGUGCAUUUGCCACCUCCUUGUUGUUUUACUAGUCGGUUGCCUGUGCGUUGCGACG